rfam:Gossypium arboreum cultivar AKA8401 contig_9163_1, whole genome shotgun sequence.
UGUUAAAAAUUUCAUCAAUUUCUAUUGUUAAAAACAAAAUAACCAAAAAGUUACACAUCGUGUGCUCCGUGUACCUCAUUUUGACAUAUAAUGACCAAUUUUCAAAAGUAAAAAUUGAUGGAAUUUUUAACA